rnacentral:rRNA from 1 species
AGAGUUUGAUCAUGGCUCAGAAUGAACGCUGGCGGCGUGCUUAACACAUGCAAGUCGAACGGUAACAGAAGCAGCUUGCUGCUUGCUGACGAGUGGCGCACGGGUGAGUAAUAUAUAGAUAACGUGCCUCUUAGUCUGGGAUAGCCAUUGGAAACGAUGAUUAAUACUAGAUACUCCUUCUAACAGUAAUGUUAGUUGGGAAAGUUUUUCGCUAAGAGAUCGGUCUAUAUCCCAUCAGCUAGUUGGUAGUGUAAGAGACUACCAAGGCAAUGACGGGUAGCGGGUUUGAGAGGAUGAUCCGCCACACUGGUACUGAGACACGGACCAGACUCCUACGGGAGGCAGCAGUGAGGAAUAUUGCACAAUGGGGGAAACCCUGAUGCAGCAACGCCGCGUGGAGGAUGACGCAUUUCGGUGUGUAAACUCCUUUUAUAUGUCAAGAAAAUGACGGUAGCAUAUGAAUAAGCACCGGCUAACUCCGUGCCAGCAGCCGCGGUAAUACGGAGGGUGCAAGCGUUAUUCGGAAUCACUGGGCGUAAAGGACGCGUAGGCUGGAAGCCAAGUCUGAUGUGAAAUCCUAUGGCUUAACCAUAGAACUGCAUUGGAAACUGGUUACCUAGAGUAUGGGAGAGGGAAGUGGA